rnacentral:misc_RNA from 1 species
AACUAGCUUGCAUCUCGACUGGCCAACACGCUUUAAUGUAUGCUUAGGAACUGCUAGAGGGCUAGCUUACCUCCAUGAGGAGUCAAGGCCAAGGAUUGUACACAGAGAUGUGAAAGCAAGUAACAUUUUGCUUGAUGCAGAACUUUGCCCCAAGAUAUCUGAUUUUGGAUUAGCAAAGUUGUAUGAUGACAAGAAAAGCCACAUAAGCACUCGAGUCGCAGGAACCAUUGGCUAUUUGGCACCGGAGUAUGCAAUGCGUGGACAUCUAACAGAAAAAAGCUGAUGUUUCAGCUUUGGUGUUCUUGCUUUAGAGAUCCUCAGCGGAAUGCCAAACUGUGAACACAAUUUGGUUGAGAAUAGGAUAUAUCUUCUUGGAUGGGCAUGGACUCUGUAUGAAAAUAACCAAAGUUUGGCAUUGGUGGAUCCAAGUUUGAUGGGUUUUGAUGAAGAUGAAGCUCUUCGAGUUAUAGGAGUCGCUCUCUUAUGUACUCAGGCAUCACCAAUAACGCGGCCAACAAUGUCAAGAGUUGUGGCAAUGCUUGCUGGAGACAUUGAAGUGAGUCCUGUUACAGCAAAGCCAAGCUACUUGAGUGAUUGGGAUCUCAAGGAUAUAAACUCUGAUACUAAAACAUAUACUGAAUCUGAGAUUAGUAGCAACAAGACACAGGAAAGCCAUUAUAACAAGCCAAUCAAUCUUAAUCUAGGGGUUGAUCCAUCACACAGUCCACUAAAUAUCACAGAACCAAGGGUUAGUGACCUCGUUGGGGAGGGAAGGUAAGUGGUGUGUUCACGGCUAGAUAUUAUAGGCCA